CGAGAAUCACGAAUCGCCCAUCCUCCACUGUUCAUAUUCAGCCCCCAUCCCUCCCCCUCUCUCUUGUCUCUCUCAAAUUCACGAGCAUUCAUCCAUGGAAGCCCGUUCAAUCGGGCGAGAAUCACGCCUUGGGGCUGUCCCCCAGCUUCCGAGCUCCAAAGAUGGAGAUGACUUUGUCCUCAUUCCGCAGAGAGAAAAGCUCAUGCGUCGUUGUACACAGCGACUGGACUGGAUUUGCGUUUGCGUCUGCUCAAACUAAUUGGGACUCAUCGCCGUCUUCUGGUUGACCCCGAUGAGAAUCAUCUGCAGAACGAAUCACCUCAAGUGGAAGAUGUCACGAUGCUUGGACAUUGGGAUCUUGGCGGUUACUUUGUUGGACCUUUCUGAUCUGGCUUGUUCUAGGAGUUUGAAGUGAUUGGAUAGCUAAGUUUUACAUGUCGAAUGAUCUAUCUCCUUCGGUGUGUAUCUCAUGGCUUGUAAUUCUUUCA